AAUGCACCAAUUUGUAAGUCGCUCUGGAUAAGAGCGUCUGCUAAAGGACGUAAA
rfam:Salmo salar isolate Sally breed double haploid chromosome ssa15, whole genome shotgun sequence.